rnacentral:rRNA from 1 species
AGAGUGCGUAAUAGCUCACUGGUCGAGUGAUCCUGCGCCGAAAAUUUCCGGGGCUAAAACGUACUACCGAAGCUACGGCAUCAUUUAUGAUGGGUAGGGGAGCUUCGUAUGCAGGCUGAAGCAUGACCGUAAGGACAUGUGGACAGUAUACGAGUGAGAAUGUUGGCAUGAGUAGCGAGACGUGGGUGAGAAUCCCACGGGCCGUAAACCCAAGGUUUCCAGGGGAAGGUUCGUCCGCCCUGGGUUAGUCGGGACCUAAGCCGAGGCCGAAAGGCGUAGGUGAUGGACAACAGGUUGAUAUUCCUGUACCGCCAAUAAGCGUUUGAGAGAUGGAGUGACACAGUAGGAUAAGCUAACCGUACUGUUGGUUAUGUACGGCUAAGCAUUGAGGCAGUCUAAAUAGGCAAAUCCGUUUAGACAAUGCUAGGAUGUGAUGGGGAAGCCCUUCGGGGCGAAGUAGCUGAUUUCACACUGUCAAGAAAAGCUUCUAUCGAGUUUAAAGGCGCCCGUACCGUAAACCGACACAGGUGGGUGAGGAGAGUAUCCUAAGGCCAGCGAGAGAACUAUUGUUAAGGAACUCGGCAAAAUGACCCCGUAACUUAGGGAGAAGGGGUGCCUGUCUAUGACAGGCCGCAGAGAAUAGGCCCAAGCGACUGUUUACCAAAAACACAGGUUUCUGCUAAGUCGCAAGACGAUGUAUAGGAGCUGACGCCUGCCCGGUGCUGGAAGGUUAAGGGGAUCUGUUAGAGCAAUCGAAGCAGUGAACUUAAGCCCCAGUAAACGGCGGCCGUAACUAUAACGGUCCUAAGGUAGCGAAAUUCCUUGUCGGGGAAGUUCCGACCCGCACGAAAGGCGUAACGAUUUGGGCACUGUCUCAACAACAGACUCGGUGAAAUUGUAAUACCGGUGAAGAUGCCGGUUACCUGCGACAGGACGGAAAGACCCCAUGGAGCUUUACUGUAGCUUGACAUUGAGUCUCGGUGCUACAUGUACAGGAUAGGUGGGAGACUAUGAAGCAUGGACGUCAGUCUGUGUGGAGUCAUCCUUGGGAUACCACCCUUGUAGUACUGGGAUUCUAACCAGAGGCCAUGAAUCUGGUCUUGGGACACUGUCAGGUGGACAGUUUGACUGGGGCGGUCGCCUCCCAAAAAGUAACGGAGGCGCUCAAAGGUUCUCUCAGUACGGUCGGAAAUCGUACGAAGAGUGUAAAGGCAAAAGAGAGCUUGAUUGCAAGACAUACAGGUCGAGCAAGGACGAAAGUCGGACUUAGUGAUCCGGUGGUUCCGCAUGGAAGGGCCAUCGCUCAACGGAUAAAAGCUACCCUGGGGAUAACAGGCUGAU